rnacentral:lncRNA from 1 species
ACCCAGAGGAUCAAAGAACCUGCCACCUGGGUACAACCUUUUCUCUGGGUCAAGUUCUGCAUUUCUUUGAAACUCUAUGUACCCUAUCACUAUCACCUCAAUCCAGAUCAGUGUGGUCAAUGAAAAUGGAAGAGGAAGUCCCAGGUAAGAUGAUCCUUCCACUAGCUCUACCUGAAAAUUAGAGUUACAGGAGCCAAACAAUUAGAAUAAACUUAACAUGUUCUGUAUGAUUUAUUUGAGUUAAUUUUUUUUGCUCUGUUCAGAGACCAUGGCAAGAGGUUCCUAAGAGACGAAUUCCAGUUACUACUUGACUAUAACUCACUCAAGAAAAUUUUACAUAUAAAAAAAAUUAAAUAUGAUUCUUCUAUUAAAUAGUUAAGAUUUUGUGACUAGACCUUCCACCUUUGUGUUAGUCUUAUGGAUUUUUAAUUUAAUUUAAUAGUUAUGCAUUUUUCAGUAUUUUUCAUUAAUUAAAAAUUAUAAUCAAUACGAUUUUUAAAAUAAUUAUGAUAAAAAUGAACAAACUGCUACUAUAGAUGAUCGUUUGUAUAAUCAUGGAACCGAUUUUUGUGUAUCUUUCUCACUGAAUCAGCUCGUGCUUAAUGCUAUAUGGAACCAAUUUUGAAAGAAUAAUAUGUCAUUUUGAGUGGUUAAUACUGUUCAUACAAAAUCAAUUCUUAAUGUAAACUUGUCUAAGACUUAUAUGUCAUUUUGUCCAUUUAGGGAAUGAGGGAAACCCUACAAAAAGGUGUUAAACGCGAAAAACCAAAUAUAAUGUGGACUUUGUUUUAUCGUUCAUGGCCACAAGAGUCAUCAUCAUCAUCUUCAGCCAGCCAUAUAAUCGCACUACAGAAAUUAUAUUAGUACAAUUUUUUAUUAUAAAAAAGAUAUAUUAUGUAAAAAGUGAUAGAAAAAAGUGAGUGAGAUAAAAUAGUUAAUUUGGUGAAAAGAAAUAAAAUGUUAUAAAAAUAAAAUUUAUUUAUUUUAUUAAAAAUGUUUUUAUUUUGUUUAUUCAUUGAAAAUAAUAUAAAUGUGAGUUUAAAAUGAUUAUUAUAUAAUCAAAUAAUAAUCAAUUUAGCCUCUAAAUUACAUCUCAUAAUUACCUUAGUUCUUUUUUCAAUUAAGAACUGAAAUUUUUAGGAUUUCAUUCAAGUCCUUAAAAUUAAUCUCCCCCUCAUUUAGUUCUCUAAACAUAUUUUUCAGACUUAAUUGUAUUUUUGGUCCAGUAAUUAUCUUGUACAAUUUUUUAAAAUUAUAAUUGUGUCAAUUGGGUCCUUCAAGUAUAGCAAAUAUGUAAAAUCUCUUAGGUUUCAGUUGUGCCAAUUCAACGGGUUUCAAAACUGUACAAUUUUAGUCUCUUAAAUUUCAUCCUUGUGCCAUUAGACAAAAAUUUUACAUUUGAAAAUUUGUAAUAAUUGGGAAACUAAAAUUGCACAAUUCCAAUAUUAGGGGAUCCAGUUGAUGCAAUUGAAAUCUAAGGGACUAAAUCACAUAUUUACAAAACCUAAAGGAUCCAAUUUACAUAAUUGGAAUUUAAGGGACUAAAAUCGUACUAUUGUAAUACCUAAAAAAUAAAAAAUGCAUUUGAAAUUGGUAAGUGGAACAAAUGAUGCAUUUUUAAUAGGUUACAUGUUCGAGUCCCUUCUAUUUCUCUCUUUUGGGGAUGCUUGUUUUAUGAGAUUAUCUUACAUUUUUUGGAAUAUAAAAGCAAGAAUGUUUAAUCUUAUAUUUGUUAAAAUAUUUUUGGGUAUCUUUCAUUUUCAAGAAAGUUACAUCCUCAUGUCCACAUAGUUUUUAUUCUCAUGCUAAUGGGGAGGGAAUGUGACAAAUUAUUUUUAACUCCACAAUAACUUUCAUUUUUACUUUUAUUUUUCAUUUAUUAUUAUAAAACUUUAAAAAUAUUCCUAAAAAUGUUAAAAAUUAUAUAUAUAUAUAUAUAUAUAUAUAUAUAUAUAUAUAUAUAUAUAUAUAUCAAGAAAUAACAUUUCCUAAGAAUCCAAAAUAAUUUUGUGAAACAAACACUCCUUAGAAUGAGAUAAAUAUAAUUAUUUUCAUAAAUGUUCUUUAAAACCUAAGAUUUAUCCAACCUUACCAAUAAAUGAGAUUGUAAUUUUUGUUGAGGCUAAUAGUUACACAUUUAUAGUCUAAAAUAUAUAAUAUAUAAUGAAUUGUGAUUCAAUGUGAAUCUCAAAUGUAUAGUUUAUUUUUUCAAUGUUUGAAUAUUUUUUAAUGUAUUAAAUUUAAUCUUUUAAGAAAAUAUUAUAUUAAUUUGUUGUAAAUAUCUGGUUGCAUUAUAUGCAAGUCAGUCAGUGGAUAACAAUAAGACACGUCCUAGGUAUGUUACUGUUACCUUCACUGACAUGGGGACCAUGUUACGUUGUCCGUAACUCAUACACACAACACAACAAAACACCAUCAUCCCACAAAGUAAUAAGAAUAUCAACAUCGUCAUGCAAAUCCUAUUGUCCUGUCACAAAAGUUUCAGCAUCCAGGUUUCCACACGCAGAUAUCCGAUCACCGUGUCGUUAACGAAAGGAGAAUCAAACAAAUAAAAGCGUAAAAUCAUGCUAAAGAAUAAUAAUCACAAUUCUCAACCACCAAAUGUUCGAUAAAUUGCCUAAUUAAAAACAAUGCUGAGUUUCUAAAAAAUGGCGAAACCCAAAACAAACAGAGCAAAAGGGUAUUCAAAAGCAGAAUCUUUGCAAGGAAAGAGACAGUAAAACUGUAAAACGUUACCUUUCCGGCGUCUUGCCAUGCGACUCCCGUGAGAGCCUCAACGGCCAAAGCACCGAGAGAACCCAGCAUUGCCCACCUUCCAUGAAUGAGUUCGCACUCACGGAACCUCUGAAUCCCGAAAACCUCCGAGUAGGGCUGAAACGGCGUCGGCUUAACCUCGGCGACCUCCACCCUGGUUCCGAUCACAUCGCCGGCGAUGUUCUUCGCGAGGUUCUGGUCCAGCGAGUCCAGGUCGAACUGCAGGUACUCCGCGGGCUUCGCGAACCCGAACGGGUCGAACCCGCGGUCGCCGAUCAUGCUUCCAUCGAGCCACUCCGGCGGCUCCGCAUUCGGGAACCACACCAGCCGGUCUCCGGAGGGUUUCACUUUCACUUCCUUUUUCUUCGGCGGCGGCUGCGGCGCCGUCUUCUUUUUGCCGAAGUUCAAGAGCGCGUGGAAUCUUCCGUUGUUUAAGGUUGUCGUGUUAACGUUGUUGAGACGGGUGCCGAAAAAGUAUGACGUGGCGGCGGCGGCGGUGGCAGUGGCCAUGGCGGAGUUUGGAAUAGUAGUUACGUGUUUGUGGGUGGAAAAAGUGUGGGAAAGGGAUGUAUAUAUAUGUAAGUGUGUUUAUGUAUUUGUGUUUCAGUGUGGGGGUGAGUUAAUUUUGUGAUGGAUGGAGUGUGUGAGCAUAAAAUGUGGCUUAUCUCUCAGCCUUAUCUGCAUGGUUGUGCCUGAAUGGUUGGUUGAUUGUUGCUUCACAUUUAUUCUGUGGACCUCAAGGAAAAACACCAUUUUUUACAUUUUCACAUUUUUGUUGGUUUCCUUUGAUUUAUUUUAUGCUAAGAAAUUAAAAACUUAAAAAAAACAAACUUGUGUUAGCAUUAUCCUUGCGUGUAUACACUGUAUUCACUAUUCACAAACAUAACAUCAGUUGCGUAAGUAAUGCAAUUUUAUGACACUAAAAUUCAAAUUUGGAAACAUCAGGUCAGGUCACUAUGAGAAGAAAUUUAUUCAAUCUAUCCCUUUGCCACCAUUAUAAUGCGAUUUAGUGAAUCUAGCUUAUGUUAAGCAUGAAAUAUCAACUAGACAUUGUUUAACGCAGAGACAAGUAAACAAAUUUAUGAACAGUCUUGGUAUAAAUUAUGACUAAGCUGCAUUGGUGACGAACACAGAUGUUUACAAGUUCAGAUUUUGAAUGAUGAUGACAAAUUUAAAAUCUUCUUACAAAUACUUACUUUUUUGGUAGCAUAUGGGGGGUGUUUUACUGUUUUAGGCUUAGUUUUCGGUAGCAGGGAUUAUCAUUGUAUUUGUUUCUUUUUGUUUGUUGUCUGGUUUGUUAGGGUCAGGUUAUUCUGGGAAUGGAACUGUAGUUGAGUACCUUUCUCUGUUUAUAACUUGCUCCCUUUGGUUGUAUCAUAUUCAUAGGGUAUUUCUUGUACCCUUUCAUCUAAUAUAUAUUCCUUUGUUUUUGCUGAUAAAAAAAAAAUAGCACCCAACUAGGUAAUCGCAAGGUGAUGAUGCUACCCGAUGUAAGACUUUUGUGCCUAGUGGUAUUGUGGUAUGUGAAACAGGGUUGAAAUCAUGAAAGAGCACUUUUAUUUCUUCAAUUUUCACUUACAUUACCCAGCAAGGGAAGUGAAAUCCAUUUUCAGUUAGCUUUAAGCUUUGCUAACAUGAAAUAACUUAAGGGGGGAAAAGAAGACGAAAUAUGAACUUUUGUUUAUUUGCAAUUUUAAUCCCGUUCAUUUUUCUUCGAAAAUCAUUUGAACAAGUAUUGUGCAAUUAUAAAGAACAUGAUGCAGGUAUAGUUAAUGCAUCGUUAUUUAUAUGUAUUUCUAGUCCUUCAUAAAGUAUAAAUGAAUUAGACUAUCUUACCUUUUCUUAAUUAUUUUCCUUGUUAUAUAAGAAAAUCCUUGUUAUAUAAGAAAAUCACUAGAAACUCCUUAAUUCAUGCACAGCAAGGUUUAAUUUUGGUAAGAGAGCUGCAAAUGGUUCAAGGCAGAAAAUAAAGCAGAGUAAAUUUCAAAUGUGUAAGGUACAAAUGAUGACAGUUCAUAAUAAUUAACAUAGUUUGAUAGUUUCAAUUUUUUUUUAAAAAAAAGACUAAGCUAUUGUUCAGAGAUGGCCCUUUUACCCUGAACUUUUAAGUCAGUUAAAUAUACAAUGAUGUAUUGUUCAUUACAAUGUUCUAAUUUCUAACUAAAAGUCUAAAACCAAGUAGUCUGAUUGUAAUCUCGUUUAUCAUCUCUGCUAUGAGUAUAUCAUUUGUUGCAAUGUGUCAACUAAUGUACGUGUUUUACACGAUUUUUUAUUUAUGUGCAAUAGUGAGUUAUUGAAGUGCUUCCUCUGUUAAUCUGUUAUAAAGCACAGUGAGAAUUUAACGGUUUACUUGCUUUGUGUGCGAUCCGUUUGUCAUGAUGCUUGAUUACAAACACAACAUUCAUUUCAUUUUUUAUGUCUGCAGUUUUUCGUAUUCUUUUUUCCCCCUUGUUUAAAGUUUAAGAGAAACAGUUACAAGGGCAUCACUAUAUCAAAAGCUUCACAUUGACAAGGAAAAAGAACUGCAAGUGCAUUGUCUGCAACAAGUAAGAACAAGCACAUAAAGUUGUGGUGAUUGCUUUUUGCUCCUUUGUCCUGGAUUGCCUGCAGUACCCUAUUUCUCAUGAAUCAGGUAGUUGAACAGAUGAAGAAAUCAACAUUAUUGCUGGGAGGAGGAACACCUUCAAAUUGUUGUUGACUUGCUUCUUGUUUCUUUUGUAUCAUGGUUUGUAUGGUAAUGUUAUAGCACGUGAUGAUGAUAGUACUAUGGACUUUUUUUUGCUCACAGAUUCUUGUCUUGUCUGGCACCACAUAUAGAUAAAAAAGCGAU